AAAGUCGUAACAAGGUUUCCGUAGGUGAACCUGCGGAAGGAUCAUUACCAAAACAUAGCUGUCUGGUCGCAAGGCCGUGACGCUUCAACCCAUUGUGAACCAAAAAACCUUUCGCUUCGGCAGCAGGUCCGGUCGGGAACGGCCGGGACGUCAGCCUGCCGCUAGCACCAACACAAAAACUUGCAGUCAAAACAUUGUCUGACAACCAAAUUUUCGAAUGAAAAUUAAAACUUUCAACAACGGAUCUCUUGGUUCCC
rnacentral:misc_RNA from 1 species